rnacentral:rRNA from 1 species
ACGAACGCUGGCGGCGUGCCUAAUACAUGCAAGUCGAACGAGAGCGACCGGUGCUUGCACUGGUCAAUCUAGUGGCGAACGGGUGAGUAACACGUGGGUAACCUGCCCAUCAGAGGGGGAUAACAUCCGGAAACGGAUGCUAAAACCGCAUAGGUCUUCGAGCCGCAUGGCUUGAAGAGGAAAAGAGGCGCAAGCUUCUGCUGAUGGAUGGACCCGCGGUGCAUUAGCUAGUUGGUGGGGUAACGGCUCACCAAGGCCGUGAUGCAUAGCCGACCUGAGAGGGUGAUCGGCCACAUUGGGACUGAGACACGGCCCAAACUCCUACGGGAGGCAGCAGUAGGGAAUCUUCCGCAAUGGACGCAAGUCUGACGGAGCAACGCCGCGUGAGUGAAGAAGGUUUUCGGAUCGUAAAACUCUGUUGUUAGAGAAGAACAAGUGCUAGAGUAACUGUUAGCGCCUUGACGGUAUCUAACCAGAAAGCCACGGCUAACUACGUG